rnacentral:misc_RNA from 1 species
GAUGAAGAACGCAGCGAAAUGCGAUAAGUAAUGUGAAUUGCAGAAUUCAGUGAAUCAUCGAGUCUUUGAACGCACAUUGCGCCCCCUGGUAUUCCGGGGGGCAUGCCUGUCCGAGCGUCAUUGCUGCCCUCAAGCACGGCUUGUGUGUUGGGCUCCGCCCCCCUCCCGGGGGGCGGGCCCGAAAGGCAGCGGCGGCACCGCGUCCGGUCCUCGAGCGUAUGGGGCUUUGUCACCCGCUCUGUAGGCCCGGCCGGCGCCCGCCGGCGACCCCAAUCAAUCUUUCCAGGUUGACCUCGGAUCGGGUAGGGAUACCCGCUGAACUUAAGCAUAUCAAUAAGCGGAGGA